rnacentral:rRNA from 1 species
UACGGGGGGGGCAAGCGUUGUUCGGAAUUACUGGGCGUAAAGGGCUCGUAGGCGGCCAACUAAGUCGGACGUGAAAUCCCCAGGCUCAACCUGGGAACUGCGUCCGAUACUGGAUGGCUUGAAUCCGGGAGAGGGAUGCAGAAUUCCAGGUGUAGCGGUGAAAUGCGCAGAUAUCUGAGGAAGAACCGAGCCAUAGGCGGAAAGCAUCGCGUCCUCUAGGUCUAC